rnacentral:rRNA from 1 species
AUAUGAAGGCGGGCUGGAACCUCUCGGGGUUACAGCCUUGCUGAAUUAUUCACCCUUGUCUUUUGCGUACUUCUUGUUUCCUUGGUGGGUUCGCCCACCACUAGGACAAACAUAAACCUUUUGUAAUUGCAAUCAGCGUCAGUAACAAAUUAAUAAUUACAACUUUCAACAACGGAUCUCUUGGUUCUGGCAUCGAUGAAGAACGCAGCGAAAUGCGAUAAGUAGUGUGAAUUGCAGAAUUCAGUGAAUCAUCGAAUCUUUGAACGCACAUUGCGCCCUUUGGUAUUCCAAAGGGCAUGCCUGUUCGAGCGUCAUUUGUACCCUCAAGCUUUGCUUGGUGUUGGGCGUCUUGUCUCUAGCUUUGCUGGAGACUCGCCUUAAAGUAAUUGGCAGCCGGCCUACUGGUUUCGGAGCGCAGCACAAGUCGCACUCUCUAUCAGCAAAGGUCUAGCAUCCAUUAAGCCUUUUUUUUCAACUUUUGACCUCGGAUCAGGUAGGGAUACCCGCUGAACUUAAGCAUAUC